rnacentral:sRNA from 1 species
CUUUCCAAUACCGAAUGUCAUUUCCUUGCUGAUCCAGGACCCUCGUUCGAAGUAAGAGUGGAACUGCCGUCGAAUUCAACCGAUAACGAGCCAUGAAACAGGGCAGUUCCAGAGGUUUUCUACCAAUUCAGCCGCCGUGAACCCCUGCCUGAGAGAGCGCGCGGGAGCGCAGGACAUCCCAGGAACCAUCGGAUUAUCCGCUCAGUCUCUUUGAGGAUGAAGCAGUUAUUCUAACCAAUUUACGCUGGAAGUGGAGCUAGCAAUUAUUAUCGCUGGCAAUGCAGGUCUUUGAAUGCAACAUUGGUGGGGAACUACACCACGAGAGGCCUGCUGUUGGGAGAUUGAUUGACUAUGGACGCUCUCUUGCUGUGGAAGUGGGGGCGUUUGUGUGAGGAAAUUCCGUCAUCAUUGCUGUCUUUUUAUUUUUAUAUUAUUUUUAUCUGGACGCGUACCCUCGUGAUAUUUGUCUGUCGCUAAAGAUGGAAUGCUGAACUGAAGAGGGGUAGCAGAGAACGGCAUCAGCUUGGGGAUGCACCGUUUGAAACACUGCCCUGUCAUUGGCUGAGACGAGAGUGAUAUGGAAGAUGAAGAUUUUACGAGAUUUGCCAAAUUGGUGUUUUUCUGGUAGCCGCUGGCCUUUUGUUAUUCUCUGCAUGGUAAGAAAAGAAAAAAUAUAAGGCUAAUAUUAGGAGACCAGUGUACAGGUAUUAUCCUAUCCCUACCCUAUAUUUCACAUUCGUCAACAACCCCUUUUUCCCAAUUUCCCAAUCCUCUUUCUCCUUGCUAUUCACAGAACAAAAAACCCGGGCUCAAAGAGCAUAGGCAGAAAUAACCGCUUUCAUUGCUACUGCUCCUCUGGGGCUAUAAAUAUUCACAUUGCCUCCCAUUGCUCUGCCUUCCACUUCCUCAAGAACAAUUUUAUACUCUUCCUCUGCAUAUAGCGGACUUGUCGCCCGAUACUCAAUGGAUCGAGGAACAAGAACCUCACCCCUCCUCCCCUGAUUCUCCAGCUGCGCACUCCUUACAUCUCGCCAGAGGUCCAACAUGGCGAGGAGAUUGAGGGGCCCAUGUACAACUAGGCCAGCAUGCCCCUCGAUAGUCUGUGCCCAGGGGAGGGAGUAGUGGAUUUUAUGCCCGUUGAAUGUAAGCGCUGAGAAGCGCUGGAGGGUGACGGCUGAUUGGCAGACAGUGCGAGUGUGUGUGACACGGUUUUUUUCUUUCAAGGUCGAGAAGGUGGGUUGCACGGUAGAUUUGGGUGCGGUGGAGAUGGCGGGAGGAGCAUUGGCGAAUGUUGCUGCGGAUGUUUUGGAUGAUGGGUCGAGCUUGAGUGCUUCUCGGAAUAUCCAGUUUCUAGAUUUGUUUUAAUUAUAUAUAUUUAUUUAUUUUCAUGGUUAGUAUAUCGUUUCGUUUCGUUUCCGCUUCCCGCGCUCCUAUAUCAAGCCGUCACAAACACACGGGCAGAUGGAAUCUCAAAGUCCUUCAUGGAGAAUUUUCUUCCUUUUUCCAUUUCCUUCUUGGGAAACUCACCUUCUAUCCACAAGCGCAACACCAUGCUCGUUCUCGAACACCUUCUCCACCCCAACAACCACCAUCUCCUCCCCAGUCGCCUUCACAACCUUAGCCUCCGCACUUAACACCCGCGUUGUCUCCUGCACCUCCUGUCCCACCCUUAGCAAAUUUACUUUCCCAUCCUGCCCGAGUGGCCACCGCACCUCCCCGCCGGCCCACAUGCGCCUUGUAAACGGCGGCUCUGGGUUGUAUGACGUGUCGGUGCCAUCCAGACCCAGCUCGCCUUCCAAGAACGCGGGUGUAAAGUAUACCAGGUGGUAGCCGGGGGGGAUCGGAGUGCCAGCUUCGGGGGCCCUGGCGUUGGAUAGUGCUGGGCUUCCUGGGUAGAGAGAGCGACGAUUCAAGGUCAGGGAGAGGAGUUGGACUUGGUUCCCGUCAAGGAUCUGGGUGCGGGUUUGAGGGGGGAGGGAUUGGAAGCGCGAGAUGAAUUUGGAGGCGAUGGCAGAGGCGGCGGGGGCAGGGUUAGUAGAGAUUGCUGUAUGGGAAGCGCCGGGGGAGGAUGAGGGAGAGGGGUCUUGAAAGUUAGCUUGGGAUGUUGAUAGUUGUCGCCACGACCUGUUAUAUGUUCCCCCGUAACAGCGAUGGAUGCGGUGGAAGAGAGGGGAUAGCCGCGACGGUGAAGCGGAGGAGCAAAAUAGCGACGAAGACAUGGUAUUUCAAAAUGACAGGAAGCUGUUUGACGCGCUUCGGUUGGAGAAG